rnacentral:rRNA from 1 species
AGCGAACGCUGGCGGCAGGCUUAACACAUGCAAGUCGAACGCAUCCUUCGGGGUGAGUGGCAGACGGGUGAGUAACACGUGGGAACAUACCUUUUGGUUCGGAAUAACUCAUGGAAACGUGAGCUAAUACCGGAUACGCCCUUUUGGGGAAAGAUUUAUUGCCGAAAGAUUGGCCCGCGUCUGAUUAGCUAGUUGGUGAGGUAAUGGCUCGCCAAGGCGACGACCAGUAGCUGGUCUGAGAGGAUGAUCAGCCACACUGGGACUGAGACACGGCCCAGACUCCUACGGGAGGCAGCAGUGGGGAAUAUUGGACAAUGGGCGCAAGCCUGAUCCAGCUAUGCCGCGUGAGUGAUGAAGGCCUUAGGGUUGUAAGGCUCUUUUAUCCGGGAAGAUAAUGACUGUACCGGAAGAAUAAGCCCCGGCUAACUUCGUGCCAGCAGCCGCGGUAA